GGGAAGUCCACGCCUUGUGGCGGCUUACGGAGCUGCUGCUUUGGCGGGAGUUGGCGGCUGGUGUGAGGUGAGAGGCGCGGUGGUCGCUCCCCGGCGAGGCCAGGUUUCUGUGGGGGAAGGAGAGUGCCAGAGGUGACUGGUUCUUCUAGGCUCUCAUGGCCACCAUGUUGGAAGGCAGAUGCCAAACUCAGCCAAGGAGCAGCCCCAGUGGCCGAGAGACUAGCCUGUGGUCCUCAGGCUUUGGGAUGAAGCUGGAGGCUGUCACUCCAUUCCUGGGGAAGUAUCGCCCCUUUGUGGGUCGCUGUUGCCAGACCUGCACCCCCAAGAGCUGGGAGUCCCUCUUCCACAGAAGCAUAACGGACCUAGGCUUCUGCAAUGUGAUCCUGGUGAAGGAGGAGAACACGAGCCUUCUGUGAGUCCUAGUGGAGGUGGGCCCUCUCUGAAGGAUCUUCCCUCCUGCUCUGGGAGCUGUGCCUAGGUUUCGGGGCUGGCUGGUUCGGAGGCUCUGCUAUUUCCUGUGGUCCCUGGAGCAGCACAUC
rnacentral:sRNA from 1 species